rnacentral:rRNA from 1 species
CGGUGCGCCUUAUGCAUGCAAGUCGAGCGAAGCUUUUCAGUAGUUUACUACAGAAAAUGACUGAGCGGCGAACGGGUGAGUAACGCGUGAGCAAUCUACCUUAGUUACAGGGAUAGCCCGAGGAAACUCGGAUUAAUACCUGAUAUUCUUUACAUUUCGCAUGAAAUUAAAAGGAAAGGUCAGCCGAACUAAGAUGAGCUCGCGUUCUAUCAGCUAGUUGGUGAGGUAAAAGCUCACCAAGGCAACGACGGAUAGCUGGUCUGAGAGGACGAUCAGCCACACUGGGACUGAGACACGGCCCAGACUCCUACGGGAGGCUGCAGCAGGGAAUAUUGCGCAAUGAGCGAAAGCUUGACGCAGCGACACCGCGUGUGGGAUGACGGAUCUAGGUUUGUAAACCACUUUCAGGAGGGAAGAAAAUGACGGUACCUCCACAAGAAGCCCCGGCCAA